UUGAUUUUUUCUAUUCUCUUUUUCUAUUCUUUUUCUUUUUAUCCUUCUCUUGAGAGAGGAGAACCAGAGGAAGAACGGGAAGGAGAAAGGGAAGAGGAACGUGUUUUCCUGAAGAAACGAUGAAAAAGACUUU
rnacentral:ribozyme from 13 species